rnacentral:rRNA from 1 species
CGGCAGCACGGGAGCAAUCCUGGUGGCGAGUGGCGAACGGGUGAGUAAUACAUCGGAACGUGUCCUGUAGUGGGGGAUAGCCCGGCGAAAGCCGGAUUAAUACCGCAUACGCUCUACGGAGGAAAGGGGGGGAUCUUAGGACCUCUCGCUACAGGGGCGGCCGAUGGCAGAUUAGCUAGUUGGUGGGGUAAAGGCCUACCAAGGCGACGAUCUGUAGCUGGUCUGAGAGGACGACCAGCCACACUGGGACUGAGACACGGCCCAGACUCCUACGGGAGGCAGCAGUGGGGAAUUUUGGACAAUGGGCGAAAGCCUGAUCCAGCUAUGCCGCGUGUGUGAAGAAGGCCUUCGGGUUGUAAAGCACUUUUGUCCGGAAAGAAAUCCCCUGGGAUAAUACCCCGGGGGGAUGACGGUACCGGAAGAAUAAGCACCGGCUAACUACGUGCCAGCAGCCGCGGUAAUACGUA